rnacentral:lncRNA from 1 species
GCAGCUCGAGAAGAGGCGUUGGCCAAGGUUUCUGCUCUUGAACUAGAGAUAAGUGCUGCAAUGCCAACAAAUAAUGAAAUUCUGGUAAAAGAUGCUUCUUCUCAGUCGAAGAUUAGUCAAGCAAAGAAAACAGUUAGUCAUGCAAAUCAAAAGGGGAAAAAGAGGAAGGUGAAAAUUGUAGAAGCGACUCAUUCUGUUUCGAAUUCGGAUUCAGAUUUCGUAAGUGAGAUUAAAAAGAAAAAAAUAAAAAAGCAGCAAAUGUCGAAAUUGGUCAAUCUUCAAAAUCAAUCAACAAGAAGAACAACAAGGAAUGAGGAC